AACGUAGGAGACAAACGUUAUCCGGAGUUACUGGGCGUAAAGGGCGUGUAGGCGGUUAGUUAAGUCUGGCGUGAAAGCUCUCGGCUAAACCGGGAGAGGUCGUUGGAUACUGGCUGACUAGAGGACGGUAGAGGCGUGUGGAAUUCCGGGUGUAGUGGUGAAAUGCGUAGAGAUCCGGAGGAACACCAGUGGCGAAGGCGACUUUCUGGCCUGUUCUUGACGCUGAGGCGCGAAAGCUAGGGGAGCAAACGGGG
rnacentral:rRNA from 1 species